rnacentral:rRNA from 1 species
AUUGAACGCUGGCGGCAGGCCUAACACAUGCAAGUCGAGCGGAGCGGCGGACGGGUGAGUAAUUCCUAGGAAUCUGCCUGGUAGUUGGGGAUAACGUCCGGAAACGGGCGCUAAUACCGCAUCCUAUCAGAUGAGCCUAGGUCGGAUUAGCUAGUUGGUGUGGUAAAGGCCUACCAAGGCGACGAUCCGUAACUGGUCUGAGAGGAUGAUCAGUCACACUGGAACUGAGACACGGUCCAGACUCCUACGGGAGGCAGCAGUGGGGAAUAUUGGACAAUGGGGGAAAGCCUGAUCCAGCAACGCCGCGUGUGUGAGGAAGGUCUUCGGAUUGUAAAGCUCUUUAAGUUGGGAGGCGUUACCAACAGAAUAAGCACCGGCUAAAUUCGUGCCAGCAGCCGCGGUAAUAC